ensembl:lncRNA
GAAUCAGAAUGAAGUCAAUUUAAAAUAUGAAUUCAGCACAUCAUCCUCAGCAUCCAUAGCCUAGUGGAAUCUUCAGAUUAAAGUGAUCUUAUUCUCAACUGAUCCAGCCGAGCGGAACGUUGCCGAGAACCACCGAAGUGUUUCGGAAACGUAGGUCGAUUUACUUCCUGGACCAAUGGAGGCGACCAGCCUCCUCGCUGUUCUGGGCCAAGAGCCCAGCCUCCUCCUCUUGCUGGUCCUGUGAGAAAGAAAACACUAACCGAUGGACACGGACACAGCUGGACCGAUAGCUACAAGGAUACAUGAUUUGAACGUUUGCUGCGAUACUGAAUACUUGUUUCACAGUGUAAUUGCUAGCCUGAGAGCUAGCUGUUCCGAAACGCGAUAGCAACGCUGCACUGUAUUGGCAACUCGCCUGUUUCUACCCAUCUAUUGUUGCGCGUGUCUGCCAACGUUUUGAUUACUGUGAGUAGGAAGGAAGAAACGCGCACGCACCCUAUUCGCUCUUAUAGGACUAUAGUGACUAACAAAACGUUCAGGACAAGAAGAGGUAGAGAGAGAUUUCGGAUUGUUGUCUUUGGAAAGUUGAUUCUACUUCCGAGUAUAAAGGUUGUUCAGCCCGAUGGCGUCAGUUUCGAGGGUAUCCAUCCUAGACUACUUCAACAUCGUGUUCGAGGGGGAGAACGGAAAGAUCGAGUCCAAUUGUAAAGCAUGCGGCACCAGAAUACAGGCGAAGAGAAGCGUCACAUCUAACUUCGUUACACAUCUCAAGAGGAAGCACCAAGCCAUGUAUGAUGAAUUUGUGAAAAAGAAGGAUAUGAAAAGAGAAGCCUACUCCUCUUCCUCCUCCACCCUCCAUCCCUACUCAUCCUCCUCUCUUCACAGCCUGGCCAAUGGAGGCCACCGCUGCAACCACUCAACCACAUCUGGAGGACGAGGAGGGGGUGUGGGUGGAGGAGGGAGAGAGGGAACAGGAGGAGGGGUGACUAAGUUCCACAGACAUGACCCUCGGCAGGUUCUGAUCUCUGAGGCCAUUGCUAAGAUGUUGGUCCAGGACCUUCAGCCGGCCUCCAUGGUGGCACUUCGCGGGUUCACAGAGUUACUGCAGCUGUUGGAGCCACGUUACACGCCUGAGCCUCCACGAUACCUCCACACCCAGCUCCUCCCUGCCUAUGCCUAUCAGGCUCAGCUAGCCACGAGACAGGCCCUGACCUCGGCCCCUGCGCUCAGCCUGUCAAUCUCCCUCUGCAGGGGUUUUCCUGGGGCCCCGACAGGGUCUAACGCUGGGUACCUAGGUGUGACUUGCCACUUCCUGUCCUCUGAUUGGCAGAUGCGUUCUGCCCUGCUGGCGUGCCUGCCUCUGGUUGGGGGGCUGUCAGCCAGUCGCGUGCUGGCAGAGUUUGAGGAGGUGUGUGUUGCUCACGCCGUGUCCGGGCGGGCGUUCCGUGUGGUGGCCGACCCGUUUCCCACCGAAACCCACCCCGCAUGCCGAUUGCCGGGCUUCCGUAUCCAUGGAAACCCGGGGGAGGAUGCUGAAGAGGAUGAUGAGGAGGAGAGUGGAACAGAAGAAGGAGAAGGAGGAGGAGUGGUGGAACGGGGGGAUUGGUGGGAAGGAGGUCUGGGCUCCAGGAGGAUGGACUGUUUCUGUCGAUCACUGGCUCAGUGUGUCAGAGAUGGACUGCUCUCCUCCUCUCCUCUCCUCUCCUCCACCCUGGCUAAAGCCUCCUCCUUCUAUAACUACGUCACCUCUGCUGUUCCUCACGACAAACUGGUGGGGGUGUUGGGGCGGGCAGAGGGGGGUCUGAGGGCUGCUGGGGAGACGGACUGGGCCGCUCAACUGAAGGUGCUGCGUGGUUUGCUGGAUUCAGCAGAGUUCCUGGAGGACCUGAGUGACCGGGCUGACCUGGCUCUGACUGGCCAGGAAGUGGCGCUGCUCAGAGAACUGGCAGACACAUUGGAACCUUUCACAGAGGCCUGGGACAUGGUACACACACACAAACAGGUAACACACACGUAACACACUAACAGGUAACACGCACUGCCCGGUAACACACAGGUCACAUACACACAGAAACAUGUUACAGACAGAGUGGUCUCACCGACAGGUCACACAAACAGACAGGUAACACACACAAACAGGUAACAUAAACACAGAUCACACAAACAGACAGGUAACACACACAAACAGGUAACAUACACACAGGUCACACAGACAGGUAACACAGACAGAAAGGUCACACACACAGACAGACAUGCUACACACAGGCAGGUCACACACACACACACAGACAGACCUGUUACAUACAGGUCACACAGACAGAUAGGUCACACACACACUGACAGACCUGUUACACACUGACAGACCUGUUACACACAAACAGCACAGAACUCUACUGGAGGGUGGAACACCAUUCUUCCAAAAGACAUCAAUCAAUCAAAUGUAUUUAUAAAGCUGUUUUUACAUCAUCAGUUGUCACAAACCCUGAAAUCCCAAGGAGCAAACAACAACAGUGUUGAAAAACUCCCAAAGGGGGGUUGAAAUUUAGGAAGAAACUUGUAGAGGAACCAGGCUCGGAGGGGUAACCAGUCAUCUUCUGGUUGUGCUGGGUGAACAAGAGUACCAGUUGUAAUAAUUGGGAGGACUUUGGACUGGGGCAGCAACAAGUCUUUAGGGUCUGGUACUCAGGAGGACAUGAGUUCUUGGCCCACACCUCCUAAGUUCAAACAGAGCAGGAGAGAAGGGUGCAUUCCAAAAUUAAAGAGUGCAUUCCUUAGGUUUACAAGGAUGUGCAGUGGAGAAGGAGAAUUGAUCCUACUCCCCCAGCACAAUAAUAUAGCAGCGUAAGACCUUGGGGCUGAGACAGGGGGGUCUGGUGACACUGUGGCCCUAUCUGGGGUAGGCCCCAGGCAGGAAAUCAAUCCACCCACAUUGCCAAGCAUCAACCAAAGGGACACCCACCAACUGCAACCACCCUGAAUGAGGGCGGAGUAUUGCCAGCAGAGUACAGCCCAAUUGCACAAGUGCGCAAAAGAGAGACAACAACAAGCCAGUGACUCUUCCCCCGAAUGGCAUUGGAGGGAGGNNNNNNNNNNNNNNNNNNNNNNNNNNNNNNNNNNNNNNNNNNNNNNNNNNNNNNNNNNNNNNNNNNNNNNNNNNNNNNNNNNNNNNNNNNNNNNNNNNNNCCCCUCUCUCUCCUGGUUUACCUCCUUUCUCCCCCUCUCUCUCCUGGUUACCUUCUCUCUCCCCCUCUCUCUCCUGGUUUACCUCCUCUCUCCCCCUCCCUCCUGGUUUAACUCCUCUCUCCCCCCCUCCCUCCUGGUUUAACUCCUCUCUCCCUCUCUCUCUCCUGGUUUACCUUCUCUCUCUCCCCCUCUCUCUCCUGGUUUACCUUCUCUCUCCCCCUCUCUCUCCUGGUUUACCUUCUCUCUCCCCCUCUCUCUCCUGGUGACCUCCUCUCUCCCCCUCCCUCCUGGUUUACCUCCUCUCUCCCCCUCCCUCCUGGUUUACCUCCUCUCUCCCCCUCCCUCCUGGUUUACCUCCUUUCUCCCUGUUCCCCUCCCGCUUUCCCUCUCUCCCCUUCUUUCUCCCUGUCCCCCCCUCUCCCUUUUUCCCUCCCUCUGUUUCCCUCUGUCGCUAUCUCUAUACUUUCUCUUUCCCUAUGCUAUACUUUCUCUUUCCCUAUGCUAUACUUUCUCUUUCCCUAUGCUAUACUUUCUCUUUCCCUAUGCUAUACUUUCUCUUUCCCUAUGAUAUACUUUCUCUUUCCCUAUGCUCGGACGCAAAUAAAUUAAUCUGUUUUAAUCUGCAACAGGAGCUGUGAGUGUCUGUAUGUGUCUUACUGUAUAAAUAGUGUAACCCAUGUUAAAUCUGGCAAAGUGAGGACAUUAUGCAGUAAAUGGCUGUUUUGGACAUGGUGUAGGGUUAUAUUUAGGGUUGGGCAGGGGUACGUUUUAGGGUUAGGGAAUAGGGUUUGUUGAUUUAGGGUUAUAUUGAGUGAGACAGGGGGGUCCAGUGACACUGUGGCCCUAUCUGGGGGAGGCCCCAGACAGGGCCCAACAGGCAGGAAAUCAAUCCACCAGCAUUGCUAAGCAUCAACCAAAGGGACACCCACCAACCGCAACCACCCUGAAUGAGGGCAGAGUAUUGCCAGCAGAGUACAGCCCAAUUACACAAGUGUGCAACAGAGAGACAACAACAAGCCAGUGACUCUUCCCCCGAAAGGCAUUGGAGGGAGGGCAUCCCAGUGGCGACGAGAGCCCACCUGGCAAGACAGCAGGGGUGGACAGUAUCAAGCCUACUGGUCACCUUCACACCCCGGGGCCAGACUACACUUAAUCAUAGACCGUGCUGUAGAGAUGAGUUUUUAGUAAACACUUGAAAGUUUGCAGUUUACAUUUCUAACCUUAAAUGGCAAAUCAUUCCACAGUAGUGGAGCUCUAUGAGAAAAGGCCCUGCCGCCAGCUAUUUGUUUAGAAAUUCUAGGUACAAUUAAAAGGCCUGCAUCUUGAGAUUGUAGGUAACGUGUAGGUAUGUAUGGCUGGAUAAUUUCAGCGAGGUAAGUAGGAGCAAGUCCAUGUAUUGAUUUAUAGGUUAACAAUAAAACCUUAGAAUCAGCCCUAACCCUAACAGGCAGCCAGUGUAAAGAGGCUAGUACAGGAGUAAUGUGUUAAAUUUUUUAUGUUCUAGUUAGGAUUCUAGAAGCUGUGUGCAGCACUAAUUGAAGUUUAUUUAUUGAUUCAUCAGGGUAACUGGAGAGAAGAGCAUUGCAG